GGCUCUGUGGUGCAACGGACAGCGCAUUGGACUUCUAAUUCAAAGGUUGUGGGUUCGAGUCCCACCUGAGUCA
rnacentral:tRNA from 1 species